rnacentral:rRNA from 1 species
GAUGAACGCUGGCGGUAUGCUUAACACAUGCAAGUCGUACGAAGAUCUUUGAUCUUAGUGGCGGACGGGUGAGUAACACGUGAGAAUCUGCCCUUAGGAAGAGGAUAACAGCUGGAAACGGUUGCUAAUACUCUAUACGCCGAGAGGUAAAAGGAUUUAUCCACCUUAGGAAGAGCUCGCGUCUGAUUAGCUUGUUGGUAAGGUAAUGGCUUACCAAGGCAAUGAUCAGUAGCUGGUCUGAGAGGAUGAUCAGCCACACUGGGACUGAGACACGGCCCAGACUCCUACGGGAGGCAGCAGUGAGGAAUUUUCCGCAAUGGGCGAAAGCCUGACGGAGCAAUGCCGCGUGAAGGAUGAAGGCCUAUGGGUUGUAAACUGCUUUUAUACAGGAAGAAACACCUCUACGUGUAGAGACUUGACGGUACUGUAUGAAUAAGCAUCGGCUAACUCCGUG